rnacentral:rRNA from 1 species
CAGCCGCCGCGGUAAUACCGGCGGCCCGAGUGGCGGUCACUAUUAUUGGGCUUAAAGCGUCCGUAGCCGGGUUGGGAAGUCCUCCGGGAAAUCUGGCCGCUUAACGGUCAGAAUGCCGGAGGAUACUCCCAGCCUAGGGAGCGGGAGAGGCCGAGGGUAUUCCCGGAGGAGGGGUGAAAUCCUAUAAUCCCGGGAGGGCCACCUGUGGCGAAGGCGCUCGGCUGGAACGCGUCCGACGGUGAGGGACGAAGGCCAGGGGAGCAAACCGGAUUAGAUGCCCGGGUAGUCCUGGCUGUAAAGGAUGCGGGCUAGGUGUCGGGUGAGCUUCGGGCUCGCCCGGUGCCGUAGGGAAGCCGUUAAGCCCGCCGCCUGGGGAGUACGGCCGCAAGGCUGAAACUUAAAGGAAUUGGCGGG